rnacentral:rRNA from 1 species
GAUUAACGCUAGCGGCAGGCCUAAUACAUGCAAGUCGAACGGCAGCGGGUGUAGCAAUACAUGCCGGCGAGUGGCGCACGGGUGCGUAACGCGUAUGCAAUCUACCUAUAACUGGGGAAUAGCCUUCCGAAAGGAAGAUUAAUACCGCAUAACAUCAUGAAACGGCAUCGUUUUAUGAUCAAAACUCCGGUGGUUAUAGAUGAGCAUGCGUGACAUUAGCUAGUUGGUGAGGUAACGGCUCACCAAGGCGACGAUGUCUAGGGGGUCUGAGAGGAUGAUCCCCCACACUGGUACUGAGACACGGACCAGACUCCUACGGGAGGCAGCAGUAAGGAAUAUUGGACAAUGGCCGCAAGGCUGAUCCAGCCAUGCCGCGUGAAGGAUGAAGGUGCUAUGCAUUGUAAACUUCUUUUGUCCCGGAAUAAACCCCUGAUUUCUAUCGGGGCUGAAUGUACGGGAAGAAUAAGGGACGGCUAACUUCGUG